rnacentral:rRNA from 1 species
CGAGGAAUAUUGGUCAAUGGGCGCAAGCCUGAACCAGCCAUCCCGCGUGCAGGAAGACGGCCCUAUGGGUUGUAAACUGCUUUUCCAGGGGGAGAAACUUGCGCACGUGUUGCGCAAUUGACGGUACCCUGGGAAUAAGCAUCGGCUAACUCCGUGCCAGCAGCCGCGGUAAUACGGAGGAUGCGAGCGUUAUCCGGAUUCAUUGGGUUUAAAGGGUGCGUAGGCGGACUGUUAAGUCAGUGGUGAAAUCCUGCAGUUUAACUGCAGAACUGCCAUUGAUACUGAUAGCCUUGAGUUUGGUUAAGGUAGGCGGAAUGUGUAAUGUAGCGGUGAAAUGCUUAGAUAUUACACAGAACACCAAUUGCGUAGGCAGCUUACUGAGCCGACACUGACGCUGAGGCACGAAAGCGUGGGGAUCGAACAG